GGGUGCGUAGCUCAGUCCGGUAGAGCAGGGGCCUUUUAAGCCCAGGGUCGUAGGUUCAAUUCCUGCCGCACCUA
rnacentral:tRNA from 1 species